UAGUGGAGAGGGAAACAACCCAGACCGCCAGCUAAGGUCCCAAAAUUAACGCUAAGUGAUAAAGGAGGUGGGAUUGCCCAGACAACCAGGAGGUUUGCCUAGAAGCAGCCAUCCUCAAAGGAGUGCGUAAUAGCUCACUGGUCGAGCGAUCCUGCGCCGAAAAUGAACGGGGCUAAGCGUUAUACCGAAGCUGCGGAUAAAUUUAUUUAUGGUAGGGGAGCGUUCUAUGUAGGGUGAAGCGUUAGCGUAAGCGGACGUGGACGGCAUAGAAGUGAGAAUGUCGGCUUGAGUAGCGAAAACAUGGGUGAGAAUCCCAUGCCCCGAAACCCUAAGGGUUCCUCCGGCAGGCUCGUCCGCGGAGGGUUAGUCUGGACCUAAGGCGAGGCCGAAAGGCGUAGUCGAUGGAUAACAGGUCAAUAUUCCUGUACCAGAUGUGUUUUGAGAAGGGGGACGGAGAAGGCUAGCCAGGCCAGAUGUUGGUUACUGGUUCAAGCGUUCGAGGCUUUGAGAGAUGGAGAAAACAUCUUGAGCUAAGGCGUGAGUACGAGCUGCUACGGCAGCGAAGUUGGUGAUGUCAUGCUUCCAAGAAAAGCCCUAUACUCGUUAAGACACAAAUGCCAGUACCCGAAACCGACACAGGUGGGGUGGUAGAGAAUACCGAGGGGCGCGAGAUAACUCUCUCUAAGGAACUCGGCAAAAUGGCCCCGUAACUUCGGGAGAAGGGGUGCCAGCGAGAGCUGGUCGCAGUGAAGAGGCGCAAGCGACUGUUUACCAAAAACACAGGUCUCCGCUAAGUCGCAAGACGAUGUAUGGGGGCUGACACCUGCCCAGUGCCGGAAGGUUAAGGAAGCUGGUUAGCUUUUAGUGAAGCUGGCGACUGAAGCCCCGGUGAACGGCGGCCGUAACUAUAACGGUCCUAAGGUAGCGAAAUUCCUUGUCGGGUAAGUUCCGACCCGCACGAAAGGUGUAACGAUUUGCGCGCUGUCUCGGAGAGAGGCUCGGCGAAAUAGAAUUGUCUGUGAAGAUGCGGACUACAUACACCCGGACAGAAAGACCCUAUGAAGCUUUACUGUAGUUUGAUAUUGUGCUCGGGCUCUGAAUGCGCAGAAUAGGUGGGAGACGUUGAAAUAGUGCUCGUGGGUACUAUUGAGUCAUCGGUGAGAUACCACUCUUUUAGAGCUAGGGUUCUAACGCUUACCCGUUAUCCGGGAAGCGGACAGUAUCUGAUGGGCAGUUUGACUGGGGCGGUCGCCUCCUAAAAGGUAACGGAGGCGCACAAAGGUUCCCUCAGGCUGGUUGGAAAUCAGUCGUUGAGUGCAAAAGCAGAAGGGAGCUUGACUGUGAGACCUACAAGUCGAACAGGGACGAAAGUCGGUUUUAGUGAUCCGACGGUUCUGCGUGGAAGGGCCGUCGCUCAACGGAUAAAAGUUACUCUAGGGAUAACAGGCUGAUCUCCCCCAAGAGUUCACAUCGACGGGGAGGUUUGGCACCUCGAUGUCGGCUCAUCGCAACCUGGGG
rnacentral:rRNA from 1 species